rnacentral:rRNA from 1 species
AGAGUUUGAUCAUGGCUCAGAACGAACGCUGGCGGCAGGCCUCAAACAUGCAAGUCUAGGGGGCGUAGCAAUACGUCACCGGCGGACGGGUGCGUAACACGUGGGAAUGUACCUACUGGUUCGGAACAACUCAGGGAAACUUGAGCUAAUACCGGAUAAGCCCUUACGGGGAAAGAUUCAUCGCCAGUAGAUCAGCCCGCGUCCGAUUAGCUAGUUGGUGGGGUAAAGGCCCACCAAGGCGACGAUCGGUAGCUGUUCUGAGAGGAAGAUCAGCCACACUGGGACUGAGACACGGCCCAGACUCCUACGGGAGGCAGCAGUUGGGAAUCUUGGACAAUGGGGGAAACCCUGAUCCAGCCAUGCCGCGUGAGUGAUGAAGGCCUUAGGGUUGUAAAACUCUUUCGGCGGGGACGAUAAUGACGGUACCCGCAGAAGAAGCUCCGGCUAACUUCGUGCCAGCAGCCGCGGUAAUACGAAGGGGGCUAGCGUUGUUCGGAAUUACUGGGCGUAAAGCGCGCGCAGGCGGCCAUUCAAGUCAGGGGUGAAAGCCCAGAGCUCAACUUUGGAACUGCCUUUGAAACUGUUUGGCUUGAGUACGAGAGAGGUGAGUGGAAUUCCCAGUGUAGAGGUGAAAUUCGUAGAUAUUGGGAAGAACACCGGUGGCGAAGGCGGCUCACUGGCUCGUAACUGACGCUCAGGCGCGACAGCGUGGGGAUCAAACAGGAUUAGAUACCCUAGUAGUCC